rnacentral:rRNA from 1 species
GUUCCUACGGGGCGCAGCAGUGGGGAAUAUUGGGCAAUGGGCGAAAGCCUGACCCAGCAACGCCGCGUGAAGGAAGAAGGCUUUCGGGUUGUAAACUUCUUUUGACAGGGAAGAGCAGAAGACGGUACCUGUCGAAUAAGCCACGGCUAACUACGUGCCAGCAGCCGCGGUAAUACGUAGGUGGCAAGCGUUAUCCGGAUUUACUGGGUGUAAAGGGCGUGUAGGCGGGAGAGCAAGUCAGACGUGAAAUUCCAGGGCUCAACCCUGGAACUGCGUUUGAAACUGUUCUUCUUGAGUGAUGGAGG